GUCAGUUUUACCCUCCAGGAUACAGCAAGGUGAGGAAUGAACCAUUUCUUGGGCAUGCUUUUUAUUUUAAAGAAGAGAAUGUAGGACAAUCCAGUCAAUCCUACUCCUCUUUCGGAGGUUCCAAAACAGCAGACGGUCAAGAGCUGGGAGGAGUUGGACAAUCCAAAGAAGAGCUGCUGAGGCGGAAACACGGUUCUUUGUCUUGGGAGCUUCUGGAUUCUAGCUGUGGGGGAAGGGAGAGAACUCUGCAUUUCCUUUCCAAAGGAAAACAUGGCCGGAGGUUUCCAGAUUCAUUUUGUCUUGAGAGCGCGUUCCUUUACCCCUUUGUCAACACUGCAAAGCUCAAACAAACAAAAAUAACCACCCACCUCUGCAUUAUCAACUUUUUGUCAUCAGAAGAUUUCAUCGUCUGCACAAAAGUAACUGUGUCAAGUGCUCUUUUAUAUAACUAUGUGUGUACUUGUG
rnacentral:lncRNA from 1 species